rnacentral:lncRNA from 9 species
UAAAAGAAAUUAUGAUAAUUUUGGCACAUAAUUAUUGGAAGGUUACCAUUCACAGCUAUGUAUUCGGCAUCUAUUAUUGGAUCUGUAACUUCAUUCAUGAAAAUAAUGGUACAUUUGCUUGUUUUUGCUCUUGGCCUUGGCUUGUUUUACUUAUGAACCUUAUGUGAUGAGGAUGAAUAUAUGUGAUAUGGCUGGCAGUGAGCAUGCACAAUCCAAGAGAAAAUUUUUCCUGAUGGGAACUGUUAUUAUUUAUUCCAGUGAAGAGAAGGCUGGGAGUUGGCUUGAGCGUCCACCAGUACAGCGGUCUCUGCAGUCUGUGUCCUGUCACUGGGGAGACAUUCCUGAGAUGGGGGGACUAUAGGAUUGGCUGAAAGGAACAUCAACACAACUAAAAAAAUAACAGAACAUGUCACAGAAAGUUAUCACAUCGACUCUUGCACACAAAUAAAGAAAUGUAACGAUACUCUGGGGGCCAGGCUGUUUCUAACGAGACGUGAAAUGCUGCAUCACGAGAAAAACGGAGGUUGUCCUCAUUGUUCACCAUGGUCAAGACUCAGUCAAGCAAGAACACUGCUUGAAUGGGUGUGAGGGCACCCCAUUCAUGGCUCUGGAGAAGAUGCUCCGUCAGAAAAGCUUCAGGUUUACCCAACAGGCAACUUACUGAAAUAGGACACGUAGGAAAACAACAGAAGAACAGAAGACAUUAAGGACACAGUCAAAUAAAUCUAAAGACUAAACGCAAAAUAAAGGAAGUGUGGCUACAGAAGGGCUUGGCAAUGCAGGAGUGAAUGAAGUCAAGAGAAUGGCUAGAAAUCGAUGUCAGUUCCUUGUUUGUGUCUGUAUUUCCAGUGCCUGGCUCACAGCAUGACAAAGGGUGCCCACUGACAGAAUGAAAGGAGAAACAAAAGGGAGGGAAGGAAGAAAGGAAGAAGAAAGGGAGGGAGGGAGAAAGGAAGGAAUGAGGGAGGGAGGGGAAGAAGAGGAGAGACAGAGAAAGAAUGGAGGAGCAGGGAGCAAGGGAAGGAA